ACGUGCCAUUCUUGGCUCCCUCCAGGGUCUCACUUCCUACCAUGCGUCCAACGUGAGAAAGCUCAAGUCUAACAUACCAUCAAGCUUCUUCAUAGCACGUCCAACUCAUGGGUCUUUCUCCCUCCCGGGCUUCUUAAUUUUUUUUUUCACUAAUCUCUAAGCCUUUAAGUUUAAAUGAGGGAUUGAAGAUUAGGCAUAAGACCCAUGUGAAACAUUGAUUGAAGAUCAAUUGGAGAAGGAUCUAAAGCUUGAUUUGAGAAGG
rnacentral:lncRNA from 1 species